ACGAGGGGUGCAAACGUUAUUCGGAAUCACUGGGCGUAAAGGGUGUGCAGACGGCGAAACAAGUCAGUUAUAAAAUCUCUUGGCUUAACCAAGAAACUGUAACCGAAACUGUUUUGCUUGAGGAUGGAAGAGAGAAGCGGAAUUCUCGGAGUAGCGGUAAAAUGCGUAGAUCUCGAGAGGAACACCGAUGGCGAAGGCAGCUUCUUGGUCCAUUUCUGACGUUGAGACACGAAAGCGUGGGGAGCAAACAGGAUUAGAUACCCUGGUAGUCCACGCUGUAAACGAUGAUCAUUAGAUGUCAGGUCCGUUAUGGGCUUGGUGUCGCAGCUAACGCGUUAAAUGAUCCGCCUGGGAAGUACGGUCGCAAGAUUA
rnacentral:rRNA from 1 species